rnacentral:rRNA from 1 species
AGGACGAACGCUGGCGGCGUGCUUAACACAUGCAAGUCGAACGGUGAAGGAAGCUUGCUUCCCGGAUCAGUGGCGAACGGGUGAGUAACACGUGGGCAAUCUGCCCCAGACUUUGGGAUAACUACUCGAAAGAGUAGCUAAUACCGAAUAUUCAGCCUUGCAGGCAUCUGCGAGGCUGGAAAGUUUCUCGGUCUGGGAUGAGCCCGCGGCCUAUCAGCUAGUUGGUGAGGUAAUGGCUCACCCAAGGCGACGACGGGUAGCCGGCCUGAGAGGGCGACCGGCCACACUGGGACUGAGACACGGCCCAGACUCCUACGGGAGGCAGCAGUGGGGAAUAUUGCGCAAUGGGCGAAAGCCUGACACAGCAACGCCGCGUGCGGGAUGAAGGCCUUCGGGUUGUAAACCGCUUUCAGCAGGGAAGAAGCGAAAGUGACGGUACCUGCAGAAGAAGCACCGGCUAACUACGUG